AGCUUCUUCGUGUGUGUGUGUGUGUGUGUGUGUGUGUGUGUGUGUGUUUCUCUGAGUCCUACUGCUUCACCACACAGGUGCCCACA
rnacentral:miRNA from 1 species